rnacentral:tRNA from 1 species
GGUAGAAUGGGUAGUUUAGUGGUAGAACACCGGCAUGGUAUGCUGGAGACCCAGGUUCGAAUCCUGGUCCAACCG